GACAGAGGGGGCAAGCGUUGCUCGGAAUUACUGGGCGUAAAGGGCGCGUAGGCGGGAUGGCAAGUCGGUCGUGAAAUCCUUCGGCUCAACCGAAGAACGUCGAUCGAUACUGCUGUUCUUGAGGGUUGCAGAGGAGACUGGAAUUCCCGGUGUAGCGGUGAAAUGUGUAGAGAUCGGGAGGAACACCGGUGGCGAAGGCGGGUCUCUGGGCAAUUCCUGACGCUGAGGCGCGAAAGCGUGGGGAGCAAGCGGG
rnacentral:rRNA from 1 species